GUUUAGGUAGGGUAUGAAAUUGGAACAACGGUUUUUGGGUCUUUUGGUUCAGAGUACAUGAAAUCAUUCUCUCACUACGUUUCUUUCCUAUUAUUCCUGUAGGGUUUUGCAAUCCUCUUUUCCUUUUAUCUAUAGUGAAUGUAGCAUUUUUCAAAAGUUGUUCUUUUAUUGUUUUUUCGCUUUUCUCUUUCUUUCUUUUCAUGUUGUUGUUGUUUUUCUUUCUUUUUUUUUCUUUUUCUCUUCUUUUUUUUUCUUCUUUUUUUUUAUACGACAUUCACUUACUAUUCACGUACUGCAAAGUUACCCCAAACUUAAAGGUUGCUAUUCCAACAGCAACCUCAAACUUAGAUAGAAACGUAGAGAUGAAAUCAAUCCUCACAUACUCUGAACAGGGUAGGAUAGGUAUAAGGUCAUGGCUUUAGAGAAACGGGUAUAUCAGAAAUAAAUGAUUAACAGGCUCAACAGGGUAAAACAAUGGAUAAUAAUAAUAAUGGGAUGGCUAGAAAGGCUCUAGGUGAUAAACAAAAAACAUGCCUCAGUGUGUGUAGUCGUACAGCUAAUAAUAACAAAAGAACAUACGCAAACUAAGAUUGAUAAAGACAUACCUGAUAUCUCUCAUAUGAUGAUAAGUGUUUGGCUUUUUCUGAUCUCACCAGGACGGGUUAAGCUGAC
rnacentral:lncRNA from 1 species